rnacentral:rRNA from 1 species
AACGAACGCUGGCGGCAGGCCUAACACAUGCAAGUCGAGCGAGGACUUCGGUUCUAGCGGCGGACGGGUGAGUAACGCGUGGGAAUGUGCCCUUCUCUACGGAAUAGCCCUGGGAAACUGGGAGUAAUACCGUAUACGCCCUAUUGGGGAAAGAUUUAUCGGAGAAGGAUCAGCCCGCGUUGGAUUAGGUAGUUGGUGGGGUAAUGGCCUACCAAGCCGACGAUCCAUAGCUGGUUUGAGAGGAUGAUCAGCCACACUGGGACUGAGACACGGCCCAGACUCCUACGGGAGGCAGCAGUGGGGAAUCUUAGACAAUGGCGGCAACCCUGAUCUAGCCAUGCCGCGUGAGUGAUGAAGGCCUUAGGGUUGUAAAGCUCUUUCAGCUGGGAAGAUAAUGACGGUACCAGCAGAAGAAGCCCCGGCUAACUCCGUG